GAUGUGAAGAGCCUAGGCUCUAGUACAAUCUACUUGUGUACUCCUUUUCAUAACGUCUGCCUUGCCUGUUUAUUACCUUUACCAAACAUUUUACCACAUCUUCGCUUCCGUUGAUAUGCGAAGGUCAGCAACACCAAAGCAACGACGACGCCCAGCGACGAAGACACUGUUCAGGUGUGGUCGCUUUGAGCUCAGGGUGACGAAGAUCUGACGACAAAGUGUGAGACCAUCAGUUUCUUGUGGUCGAUUCAAUCCCCGCUGUACCAAGAUUCGCGAGGAAAGGAGCAAGGUCUUUCAACCCUUGUAAUUGUAUUAAAUGUAUUUUUCUUGAACAAGGCACGUUGAAUAUUGUUCAUUCAUAUCAUCACGUUAUUUUCCAUCUGCUAAACAACAAUGAACACGAUUAUGCCCAUUUAGUAAGUGCACUGUGCAGUUCAUUUAGGUAUACCCCCAUUUAUUGAAGACGCUUUGAAGACGAAGGAAAAGCCAGGACACACACCGGACUCUAUUACAUCUUGUUUUGGUGAAAACGACGUGGAGAUGGACAGUGAGAGGUUCGUUGACGAUGCGCAAGAACUGAGGUUGUGGCCAAGUAGGAUUGAGUUGGCCUUCAUCCAACUGAUGGUCGAGGAGGUGAAGCAAGACCCUUCAUUAACCAAAAAAAACUUUUUCACCACAAGGCAUUGAACUCGAAUUGACGACGAGCUGUACAGUCAGUUCAGAGUUAGGUACACAGUUAACCGAUUAAAACAAAAGUACCACCGCAUCAGGCAAGCAUACAAUACAUUUGUGAAAUUGAAAAACCAUACGGGGUUCGGUUGGGAUGAGCAGAGGAAAACGGUCAUGGCCCCGGAUGAUGUCUGGGAUCACUAUGUGAAGGUAACAACCACCAUCGUAGGAUUGACUACAACCUUCAUACUGCAGUACAUUAACUCGAACAAUUCUUAUUUACCAUAUCUUUGGUUUUUUAUUUUUGUAGGCACAUCCCGGAGCAAAAGUGUUCAGGAAAAAGGGUCUAGACCACAUAGACUUGUUAGACGUCCUCUUUGCCAACUCCCAAGCCACUGGUGCACUUGCCCGUGCUUCAACCCAAGGAGCCCCAACCUCUGAUGAAGAAAGGGAUAUCCAAAUUGCAUUCUUUGGUGUUGGUAUCAACUCAAAUACCGAUUCUAUCCCUAUUGGUGACAACAUCGAGGGACAUGAUGACCUAAAGGUAGGUGGGAGUAGUGGCAACGAUGGUGGGCGAAAUGGUGCACACUUUAAUUUGGCACUUGAUACAUGGACUGCCACAAACCUUGCAAAAAAAGAAUUUUUUGCUUGCCAAAACAAAAUGGCUGAAGUGAGUCAAGCCGAGAAGAAACAAUACUCCAUUGUAGCAUGUAUCGACUGUUUGGCAACAAUGUACAGAAUCACUCCCGACCAAUACGUUAAGGCGUGUGAGAGUUUCUGUGAUAAAGCAACGAGGAAAAUGCUCAUGAAGAUGCUACCAAACAUGCAGAUGGAUUGGGUUCGUAAGCUUGCUUA